GCCCAGGCUUACAGUUAACGACGUCAUCCCGGUCUGAACCAACGGCAGGCGCAUCCGAUAUAUUCGGUUUGUUCGGCCGUCUUAACAGGAAGAAGAGGAUAGAAAUCCCACUGGCAGCUGAGCAAUAAUGAAGACGAAGAGCUGCAGAAAUAUUUACCAGAGAAAAGGAGAACCAGGAUGGUGAAGGUGAAACAACAGAGGCAGCUGACAGGUUCUGUUAAGUCCGAUCAGAUCAGCGCAGCGGGACAGCCAGGCUGUAAAAAACAAAGUCGGCUUCAUCCGGGCCUGCGGCUCUAAUUAUCGGGCAAACAGCGAGCGGGCAGAGCGCGGCCUUCUGGGAGGUGUGACUGCUUAACGAGAUGGAUCCGAGCUGGCAGAGAGCAAACACGCAUCAGAACUGGACCAGCGGCACCGGCUCUGCAUCUCACACAGAAACGCUGGUAUGAAGACGUUUGGUUUCUUCGGAGGGUUUAAAAUACCAAAAGGU